UACGUAGGCAGCAAGCGUUGUUCGGAAUUACUGGGCGUAAAGAGUGUGUAGGCGGUGCUCUAAGUUCGGUGUGAAAUCUCCCGGCUCAACUGGGAGGGUGCGCCGGAAACUGGAGUGCUGGAGCGCGGGAGAGGAAAGCGGAAUUACCUGGUGUAGCGGUGAAAUGCGUAGAUAUCAGGAGGAACACCGGCGGUGUAGACGGCUUUCUGGACCGUAGCUGACGCUGAGACACGAAAGCGUGGGUAGCAAACAGG
rnacentral:rRNA from 1 species